rnacentral:tRNA from 1 species
GAGGGUAUAGCUCAAGGGUAGAGUGUGUGCUUCACAUGCACGAGGUCCUAGGUUCAGUUCCCAGUACCUCCA